rnacentral:lncRNA from 1 species
CUCGGCCGUCUUCUCUAGGAGAGAAAAUAUUCGUGCCAUAUAGCGUGUUCUAAGAGUUCUCACCAGAAGCCCAGAAAGUUCUGUAUUUACUCAGCAUUCAAGGGAAAACAGACCCUGUAUUUUUGGGAUUCCUGAAAGGUGACCAGAGGAAUAUCCACAGAAGCAGAAGUAGGAAUGGGGAAGGAGGGGACAAGUUUAGACCAAGCUCUUCUGUGACCUCACUUCUGCUUUUGAAGUCCCACAGCUCUAUAAGGAUUCCUAAAACUGGACAUGGUGGCUGUAGGAGGAUGCGCCUCUUUCAGUCAUUGGAUUUCCCCUGGAAAGACAGAAUGAAUUCACAUUCUCACCUGCAGUGGGUGAGAAGUCCCUUUUCCCCCACUUCCUUGCCAAAAAUGGAUAUUAUCAUUCCUUUUCAUCUUUGCCAGUCUGGAAGUUAUGUGCAACUGAACACAAG